GUCGGGAUAGUGUAGUGGUUGCACACGGGUCUCCAAAACCUUGUAGUGUCGGUUCGAAUCCGGCUCCCCUCGCCA
rnacentral:tRNA from 1 species